UCUGUGUACACCAUGGCCCCAUCUCCCUGCAGCUCCCAUGGCUAGUAACCAUGGAAACACAGUCCUCCCCAAUACCAUACUCUGCUGACAAACACUGGGAGUCCCCCCAGCCCGCUUCCCACCUCAGGGAAGUAGCAUGGACCUCACCAGUUCCCAGUAAGCAAGGGAUGGUGGGAUGAAGAAGGUGAACAUUUGCUCUAGGGCUUUGAAGGCCCAGGCCAGGCCUCUAAGCCCUUCCAUUGCCAAUCUAUGGUCAAGGCCUUGUUACUUGCCUAAGAGCCAAAAAGAGAGCUGAACUAGAUGGUAUAUCAAGGCAUUUUCUGUCCUCAGUUUCUCUAUGUUCAAAACAGGAAGAAGCCGCUUUUAACAGAUGGGAAGAUGCAGGCAUGCCAUUCUAGAUGUCUGGUUCAGUGAGACAGAGGCUUCAGCCUGAAUCCUGCUGUGCCCAUGUAGAACAACUUCUACAUGUGGAAUACAUUGCAGUCAUGUUAAAUGCCAUACACAUGCACACAAGGCCCUUGAUGCUACCCUGCCAACCUAUUAUUUUCCCCACUGUGCAGAGGCAUGAAGUUCAGACUAAAGUUUUACUGGCUCCACAGAAUGUCUUAGAAAGGUGUUCCCCUUUUCUAGGAUACAAAAGAUUUAAACACAAAUUUAUUCCUUCCUUCCUUUCCUUCUCCAUCCCUUCCUCCUCCUCUUUCUUUUUGUAAAUUAAAAUUGACCAGAUAAAG